GUUAUACCCUAAAUUCUUUUUUUUAUCUCGUCCUACUGCCAUCGCCUCUUCCACAAACAAAACCACAAAACCUACUCUCACUCUCUCUCCUAAUAACCCGACGCCCAAAACAGAGCAAAUCACUUCUCCCACUACCGGCGCUGCCUCCCACUCCGCCUUCACCACCGCGACGGCCGCUUCCUAUCUUCCCCUUCUCGCGCCUUGAUGAAGGGUUUGUAGCAAAUCAACUUCGUCCGAUUCUUGUCACCUCUUUCUUCUUCCUCCGGUUUGAAUCUCCCCUCAAAAUCGACUGCAAUGUGGCAUUCAAGAGAGUUAUUAUCGAAGAUUUGACAGUAGUGCUGUCCGAUUGGGACCUAUCGAUCCAGAGCCUUGUGGAUGAUCAAGCAUUGGUUGUUCGGUAAAUGGAGAUUAUGUUGUAAAGAUGAACAUUUCUAGGGAGUCUUUGAGGGUUUUAUCGCGCCGGAGCUAAGUUGUCUCUCAAAUUUGCAAGAAGAUAUUUCUAUGUAGGUUCAUAAUUUUGUUAGCUUUGAUUGUGGCUGGCAAUGAUCCAUCUACAAUCAAUUCAACCACUUCCAAAGCAAAUAGAGCAUUUAGAUUCCUUGACAGAAAAAUUCAGUGUCCCAAGUUCAAAAAGGGCAAGGUUGCAAGUGUGGAUGAAAGAGAGGAGAUAUCAAGAAUUUUCUUAGAGAUAAUCAACCAGAAAUUCAAGGGCUAGGGUGUUGGGUGUCAGUUGAAAGAGGCGUGACGACAAGCCCCAUAGGCAAGUGUUUUCAAUCAUUUAAUUUUAUUUAUGGAUUUUAUGCACAUUUAGUUAUGUUCUUUGAGAUUUUUUUCUUCAAUGGAGUUGCAUUCUUUUCGGCUUCCAUUUCUUCUAUUGACAAAUUUUAUUGCUCCUUGUUUUUAAGAUUUUGAAUUCAAUCACUUGAUGUGAGAUCAUGAGUUGGUUUCAUUGUCCUGCUCUGGAUUUGUUUGGAAUAUUCAUUUAAGAGGAUUUGUGAUCAAUUGGGUAUUAAAAUUGGCUGGAGAUUGAUAAUUGUCUGCAGUUUUCCUUGUGUUCUGAUUUUUGAAUUUUAGAUGUUUUCUUGUCGGAUGUUCCGGUGAAAUAAUGCUUUAUUGUUCUAGCUACAUAAUACUACUGCAAGUUCUAUCGGAUUUGUUCAUUUUUAGUGGCAGAUCAAUCCAUGUUAAUAAUAAUAAUAAUAAUAAUAAUAAUAAUGCUUCAUCCAUUCACGAAACCUUCUUUCACCUAGUUUGAUUCAUUCUCGUCUCGAUGGCAACCAUUUUAUUCUAUACCUCU